CCUUGUACACACCGCCCGUCAAGUCAUGGAAGCCGGUAGCGCCCGAAGUCGCCGCAGUACUGCGGUGCCCACGGCAAGAUCGGUGACUGGGACU
rnacentral:rRNA from 1 species